rnacentral:rRNA from 1 species
GACGAACGCUGGCGGCGUGCUUAACACAUGCAAGUCGAACGGUGAAGCGCCUUCCUUUUUGGUGGGUGUGGAUGAGUGGCGAACGGGUGAGGAACACGUGAGUAACCUGCCCCCUUCUUCUGGAUAACCGCAUGAAAGUGUGGCUAAUACGGGAUAUUCUGGGUCUGUCGCAUGAUGGGUCUGGGAAAGAUAUUGUUUCGGUGGGGGAUGGGCUCGCGGCCUAUCAGCUUGUUGGUGGGGUGAUGGCCUACCAAGGCGGUGACGGGUAGCCGGCCUGAGAGGGUGGACGGUCACACUGGGACUGAGACACGGCCCAGACUCCUACGGGAGGCAGCAGUGGGGAAUAUUGCACAAUGGGCGCAAGCCUGAUGCAGCGACGCCGCGUGAGGGAUGGAGGCCUUCGGGUUGUGAACCUCUUUCGCCAGUGAAGCAGGCCUGCCUCGUUUGUGGGUGGGUUGACGGUAGCUGGAUAAGAAGCGCCGGCUAACUACGUG